rnacentral:rRNA from 1 species
UACAGGGGGUGCAAACGUUGCUCGGAAUCAUUGGGCGUAAAGCGCACGUAGGCGGUUCGUUAUGUCGGAUGUGAAAGCCCUUGGCUUAACCGAGGAAGUGCAUCCGAAACUGGCGAGCUAGAGUACGAAAGAGGAUCGCGGAAUUCCCGGUGUAGAGGUGAAAUUCGUAGAUAUCGGGGGGAACACCGGUGGCGAAGGCGGCGAUCUGGGUCGAUACUGACGCUGAGGUGCGAAAGCGUGGGGAGCAAACAGG